CAUAUACUUUUACUUUGCCUGGUUUCGUUUGACCGAGGAUCAUCACAGGAAGGGGAAUAUUCUUAAACAGAAUCAAACCAUCUUCUUUUCCUCCUUCUUCUUCUUUUGAGGACGAUGAAGGUAACGGACAAUAUAACUGCCAGUUCUUCGAUACUUCAUGAUGUUCGUAGAAGACUAAGGGCGGACGAUGACUAUCAGUCGUAGCCGUGUUGAA
rnacentral:ribozyme from 1 species